rnacentral:misc_RNA from 1 species
CACAAUUGAACAGCGAUAUAAAAAUGAACAAUCAUGCUGGGCGUGCAGAGGUGAUCCAAUCAAGGGCUUUAAUAAUGGGAGCUAGUUUCCGGUCCCCUCAUAUUAAGGGGGGGGGGGGAAACAGUCUUAAAAUCCCUAGUUGCUCUGACUGGAUGUGGAAGUGGGACUUGGAUGAAUCAUCAAUUUCCUGCUAACAGGCCAUACUAUGUCUGAAGUUACUAGGACUACUACUUGCAAACGUACAGUGCAUGUUAUGUACGUGUGUACUGGGGUUCAAGCACCCUGAUGUUGUUGGAUACACUGAUAGGUUUUGGAAAGUAGCUUUCUACAAGAUUAUGCACAAAUUAUUUCACCACUUGGACUCCUAAAAUGGCUGACAUUGAUGAGAAUGUGUUCUUUCGCCAGGCUGACGUUUCAGUUUCCAAAAAGAAACUGGCAAAGUCCGUACUCAAGAGGUCUUCAAAAUAUCGCUUGUCGACUCGUCAUCAUCGCCGGGGAGGUUUGAAGAAACAUUUGAAGGCACCGACAUAUGAAGAAUGCCAGGCAAAGCACAACCCAUCAUGGAUCCGAAACCACAUCUGCAUGAGGGAAUGUAUCCAGUUCACUCCGGCUCCUGUCGAUCCGGAAAGGCCGGACCCACAUCCAGAUGAUCCCAAAUGCCAGUGUGGUAAUCGCAAGUCAGACCACGAUGACCGCUUCUGCCAAAACCCUGACACUAAGGCAAAGUGGAAGGUGGAGACCCACACCCACACCUGUACCACCAACGCCUUCGGGGAGAUUGAGUUCAUUGGAGCUGCUGGGGCUGGGCUGGGGCUCAAGCCCAGAAAGUAUGUGCGAGUGGACCACAACAUCCACCCAAAUCACCUGAUGCAACUACUGAACACUCAGUGGAAUCUAGGCACUCCUAAGCUCCUCAUCUCAGUCACGGGAGGGGCCAGAAACUUCCACAUGAAUACAGAACUCGAGAAUGUCUUCCGAAAAGGCUUGAUCAAGGCUGCUCUAAGCACUGGUACCUGGAUCAUCACCGGCGGUACUGACGUUGGCGUCAUGAAGUACGUCGGUGAUGCCAUCAAGGAUUAUGCCCUAGUUAGUGGCAUCACGGGACGGUCCGUGGUUGCCAUUGGCGUUGCCUCGUGGGGUGUUAUAGAACAAAGAGAGAAGCUUAUAGCUGAAGAGGGUUGUUUUCCGGCCUACUACCGAGUAGACGCCGAGGACCAAAAAGGGGUGCUCCUAGACCCAAACCACACCCACUUCAUCCUGGCAGAUGAUGGGACCGUGGGAGAGUUUGGAGUGAACAUCAAAUUCAGGGCCAGGAUGGAGAGAGAAAUCUCGGAGCAGGUGUACAGAAACACAAAUGUGUCUCUGCCAGUGGUGUGCCUGAUGGUAGAGGGAGGCCCCAACACCCUAGCCACCGUCUAUGAAGCCAUCAUGAACGGCACGCCGGCUGUCAUCAUCGCUGGAUCGGGAAGAGCUGCAGACAUUCUGGCGUUUGCCUUCCAGAGGGCGCCAGAGAUAGAAAGGACUGUUAAGGACAGUGCAGGAAAUUACAGGAAAGAGAAAGAGACCAUGAUCAGUGAUUCGUUGAUGGUGCGGCUGGCCGACAUGUUUCGUGAGGAGUUUGGUGAGAAGGAGUUGGACAUUCAACUGAAUCGCAUCAAGGAGAUGCUGAUGAGAAGGCAUCUUGUGACUGUCUAUGAGCUGGGAACCGGGGACAUCGAUGGUGCCAUCCUACAUGCUCUCCUCACAGGCAACAGAGGCAGCAUUCAAGAUCGCUUGCAGCUAGCUCAGAUAUGGAACAGAGUGGACGUGGCCAAGCGAGAAAUCUUCACUGAGGACUGGGAAUGGAAGAAAGGCGAGUUAGACGACGCCCUUCACUAUGCCCUGGUCAACAAUCAGACAGACUUUGUCAAACUCUUCAUGGAGAACGGAGUCAGCUUGAAAGAUUACCUGACGGUCAGAGAACUCACCCACCUCUAUAAUGAGGUUGAGAAGAACACUUUACUGUAUGAACAGCUCGACAAACACAGGGGCAAGUCUUCGAGGAAGUUCACCUUGAUUGACGUCGGUGGAGUGAUCCAGGAACUGACCACAGACACCAAUGUGCCCUUGUAUCUCCAUCACAAGGACAAGUUCAUGCUGCCGGAGAGCGAUUUUUGCAGUCCAGCGAGGGAGCUCUUCCUGUAUGCAAUUUUGCAGAAUCGGGUCGAGAUGGCGCGCAUGUUCUGGGAAGAAGGCAAGGAGGCCAUACCUAGCGCCCUGACUGCAAGCAAGAUAUUGACAUCAUUAGCAGCCAAGGAAUCCCAUCCUGACCAUAGUGUUGCCAUGAAGUCGCACGCUGCGAGUUAUGAAGAAUUGGCCUUGGGUGUUCUGAACGAAUGUUACAACGAUGACAAAGACUUGACUGCCCUCCUGCUAGUCAUGGAGCAAGAGAAUUGGGGCAAGACCACUAGCCUGAGUCUAGCCAAACAGGGCGACAAUAAGAACUUCAUCGCUCACACAGGAGUCCAGAAUCUACUGACGGAGAUCUGGAGUGGCAAGCUGUCAUACAAGAACAAUUAUUGGCUGCUGUGGGCGUGUACCUUCCUACCUCCCCUGAUUCCUUGCAUCGUCAACUUCAGGGAGGAUGUCAUCUUGAAGUCGAGGAAGAGUGUCGACAAACAGUCAAAAACUCAUGAGAUAGCUGGUAGACAGAACAGGGGACAGAAUGGUGGACAGAACGGGGGACAGAACGACACCUACAAGGAUGUCUUGGAGUUAUCUGCGCUACAAAAUGCUGAGGAAAAUGGAGCCCCGUAUGCCAACAACGUAGAUGGCGUUGAUAAAGCAGAGAAUGAAGACCCAGAUAAGUAUCAGGAGACAGCGGACAUUGACAUCACCAACAGCGGCAAGAAACUGGCCUGGUGGCAACGUUUCUCUCUCUUCUACUGCGCACCUAUCAUCAUCUUUAGACACAACGUGUUGUCUUACUUGGUGUUCUUGCUGUUGUUCAGCUACAUCAUCUUGGCUAAUUUCACGCCUACCAUCUCCAUCUUUGAGAUGGUCCUCAUCGGCUGGGUGGGCUCACUCUACCUGGAGGAGUUACGACAGAUUGUACAAGGUGAGUCCAACAGUUGGCACAGGAAUUUCUGGUUCUGGAUCUCAGAUUACUGGAACAUGGUAGACAUUGCCACCUUGGUCCUCUUUGCUGUCGGGGUAGGUCUGCGAUUCUUUGAUGAUCACCUUGACCACGCUCGCAUCAUCCUAGCGUUGGACUUGGCCAUCUUCUACAUCCGCAUCCUGCAGAUGUUCGCCAUCAGUAAGAAUCUGGGACCCAAGUUGAUCAUGAUUGGUAAAAUGCCUCCCAGGCGAUACUCUACCCAAACAGCACAAGCUUCCAAGAGGUCAUUACCGGGGUCUUCUUCAAGGCUUACUUCCAGAUGGACGGAGAGUUGUUCCUGGAAGACAUCGAAGGCAAUAACGGCUGUUCUGAUAACAUCACCUUAAUCGCUGCUGGGGCCCCACGAUGCCCGCAGGAUUCCACAAUCGGUGUCAUCCUACUGGCCAUAUAUAUGAUGCUGAGUAAUGUACUACUCCUGAACCUACUCAUUGCUAUGUUCAGCUACACCUUCUCAGCAGUGCAAGAGAACACCGACGUCUUCUGGCGUUUCCAGCGUUACGACCUGAUCAAGGAGUACUUCAAUCGUCCAGCCCUUGUGCCGCCGUUUAUCAUCAUCGCUCAUAUCUCCUUCCUGG